rnacentral:rRNA from 1 species
CACUCCUACGGGAGGCAGCAGUGGGGAAUAUUGCACAAUGGGCGCAAGCCUGAUGCAGCCAUGCCGCGUGUAUGAAGAAGGCCUUCGGGUUGUAAAGUACUUUCAGCGGGGAGGAAGGCAAUACGGUUAAUAACCGUGUUGAUUGACGUUACCCGCAGAAGAAGCACCGGCUAACUCCGUGCCAGCAGCCGCGGUAAUACGGAGGGUGCAAGCGUUAAUCGGAAUUACUGGGCGUAAAGCGCACGCAGGCGGUCUGUCAAGUCGGAUGUGAAAUCCCCGGGCUCAACCUGGGAACUGCAUUCGAAACUGGCAGGCUUGAGUCUUGUAGAGGGGGGUAGAAUUCCAGGUGUAGCGGUGAAAUGCGUAGAGAUCUGGAGGAAUACCGGUGGCGAAGGCGGCCCCCUGGACAAAGACUGACGCUCAGGUGCGAAAGCGUGGGGAGCAAACAGGAUUAGAAACCCUAGUAGUCCCAUGAU